GGGCGUUUAGCUCAGUGGGCCAGAGCGCACGGAUCACACCCGUGAGGUCACAGGUUCGAGUCCUGUAACGCCCA
rnacentral:tRNA from 1 species